AAUGGCGAANCCUGAUGCAGCAACGCCGCGUGCGGGAUGACGGCCUUCGGGUUGUAAACCGCUUUCAGCUCCGACGAAGCGCAAGUGACGGUAGGAGCAGAAGAAGGACCGGCCAACUACGUGCCAGCAGCCGCGGUGAUACGUAGGGUCCGAGCGUUGUCCGGAAUUAUUGGGCGUAAAGGGCUUGUAGGCGGUUUGUCACGUCGGAAGUGAAAACUCAGGGCUUAACCCUGAGCCUGCUUCCGAUACGGGCAAACUAGAGGAAUGCAGGGGAGAAUGGAAUUCCUGGUGGAGCGGUGGAAUGCGCAGAUAUCAGGAGGAACACCAGUGGCGAAGGCGGUUCUCUGGGCAUUUCCUGACGCUGAGAAGCGAAAGCGUGGGGAGCAAACAGGCUUAGAUACCCUGGUAGUCCACGCCGUAAACGGUGGGCACUAGGUGUGGGACUCAUUCCACGAGUUCCGUGCCGUAGCUAACGCAUUAAGUGCCCCGCCUGGGGAGUACGGCCGCAAGGCUAAAACUCAAAGGAAUUGACGGGGGCCCGCACAAGCGGCGGAGCAUGCGGAUUAAUUCGAUGCAACGCGAAGAACCUUACCUGGGUUUGACAUAUGCCGGAAAGCUGCAGAGAUGUAGCCCCCGCAAGGUCGGUAUACAGGUGGUGCAUGGCUGUCGUCAGCUCGUGUCGUGAGAUGUUGGGUUAAGUCCCGCAACGAGCGCAACCCUCGUCCUAUGUUGCCAGCGGAUAAUGCCGGGGACUCAUAGGAGACUGCCGGGGUCAACUCGGAGGAAGGUGGGGAUGACGUCAAGUCAUCAUGCCCCUUAAGUCCAGGGCUUCACGCAUGCUACAAUGGCUGGUACAAAGGGCUGCAAUACCGCAAGGUUGAGCGAAUCCCAAAAAGCCAGUCUCAGUUCGGAUUGGGGUCUGCAACUCG
rnacentral:rRNA from 1 species